rnacentral:rRNA from 1 species
UACGGAGGGUGCAAGCGUUGCUCGGAAUUACUGGGCGUAAAGCGUACGCAGGCUGCUUGCCAAGUCGGGUGUGAAAGCCCGGGGCUCAACCCCGGAAUUGCGCCCGAAACUGGCGAGCUUGAGUGCGGGAGAGGGAAGCGGAAUUCCUGGUGUAGAGGUGAAAUUCGUAGAUAUCAGGAGGAACACCGGUGGCGAAAGCGGCUUCCUGGCCCGACACUGACGCUAAUGUACGAAAGCGUGGGGAGCAAACAGG